rnacentral:lncRNA from 1 species
ACCCUUGCAACAGAAAAAGGCAGAAAAGGAAUGUGACAAAUUUCUCUACUGAAAAGAAAGGAUUCAAAUUGAGGAAGGAUUCAUAACAGGGAAGCAGGAGCGGAAAAUAAUGUUUAUGAGAUUCUUUUGCUCAAGUCACCCACAAAGAAGGCUUGGAAGUUCAUGUUCCCUAGAGAGGUGCCAAUUCUGCUAAAGAAGAUUAAGUGCCCAUAUCACACAUGCCAUAAUCCUGCAGCCAACAUCAACAAAGAGCUCAAAUCUAGCCUGGCCCUAAUCUAGGGAGCUACCACAGUGGGCUGUCAGCCCUGCCUGGGGCCCCUUUCAUUGCCAUGUCGUGUACCAGCCGAGAUGUUCAUUCAGAAAUGAGUAAGAAUGUUAGAGAACCAUCCUAUUGCAUCCUGGAAUAUUUGGUUAACAGUUUGAACCCUUUUUAUGGCUUUGAAAUAAUUAUUUCUGAAUUGGGCACAGAGGCAUUUGAUUCCUAUUUUAUUUCACUUGUUUGCAUCUGAGAAGAUGUUUAAAGGCUCUUGGCUUACCCGUGAAGUUGAUUUUCAGCAAGUAAUCCUUGUACAACUUCUUCCCAUCCAGGAUCUUCAUAGCAUCACAAAGCUUGGUAGUGUUGGGACAGAGGGUGCGCUGCAUUUUGUGCAAAGCGUGGGCCAUGGCAUACACCGCGUUCACCACAAACAUGAUCUUGGACUCUUGCUCGUAGUUGCUGCUGUCGAUGGCCAGGUGCUUGUCGCAGACGCGCCUGUGGUUGCGUUUGUUCUGGAGGCUGCACUGAAACUUUUGCUCCCAGAAGUCCCGGAACCAGGGGUUGCGGUGGUUGUUGUAGGGGUUGAGGCUCUGGAAGUAGCGGUCGAACUGGCGGACAGGCUGGGAGGCCAGCUCCAGGGUGAUGGCGCCGUAGGCCACAUGCUCGCUGCCCUUGAUGAUGCUCUCCUGCGCGCCCCAGCCGUCGCUGGCCACCCAGGUGAAGGAGGCAUUGGCGCGGCUGGCGGCUGCAAUGAGCUCCCGCGAGUCGUCGCUGCGCAUGAAGAGGACCACGACGCGCGCGUUGGGCUUCUGCAACAGUUCUCGGAUCACGCUGUCGUAGGACUUGCGGAUGUUGGAGCGGCCCACCUUCUCCGCCGUAGCGAUGCAGAUGUUGCGCAGGCGGGCUUCCUGCUCGAAGGCCUCGAUCCCUGUCUCCCCGUAAUCACCCUCGGAGGCUACUGUGGACACGUAGGUCCAGUUGAAGAAGCGCAAGAUCUCAGCCAUGGCUUUGGCCUGGUAGAAGUCGGGGGGCACGGUCCUGGCAAAGUAAUCAUAGCGCGACUUAUCACUGAGUUUGGCGCUGGUGGAUGCGUAGCUGAUCUGAGGGAUCUGGAAGAGCCGCAGCAGGACUAGGAGACUCUGGACAAAAUGGCCUAUACUGACUUAUUUAGGCAUAGGAAUAUUGCUUCACUCAGCCUGACUGAAAUGGCAGGUGUCACCAAACAGGUACUGUCAUUACUUCUAGAAUGAGUGCCUGGCUUCCACUGGAUUUAUGUACCACUAUGGAAGGCUUGGUGAUAGGAGCCCUGUCUAUGCAUAGCUUGACUUUGUUAAGAGGUUUCUGGCUAGCACUGGAGAGGCCAUCUCUUCUUGAUACAAUGAUUUUCUCAUCUUCAAGUUAUAUUAAUCAGGACCUGAACCCCUCAGGGAGACAGAGAAUGAAAGGACCUAAAAAAUAUCUGGACAUUAUUUUCUGGCAGCGAAGAAUCACAGUGAAACAAUCCUAAACUGCUGAAAUUUCCUCUCCCAUAGGGGUAGGAGUAAUGAGAAACUGCUCAAAAAAAAAACAAAAAAGUUCUUGUUUUUCAAUGAUAGGCUUCAUGUCUAACUCUCCAGGAUGUACGAGAAUAAUUUACAAUGAAGGCAGGCUUUGCAAGAGAACGAACUAGCCAUAGAAUAACAGCAAUGUGGGAAAGAUUCUCUGCAUUGGAAAGGGGCACAAUGAGCUGUAACUUUGGGGAAGGCUGUGGGCUAGAAUAAAACAGCAACUAUUGCCAACAUUUUAAGAAUAAUUUUAUGUUCCUCUGUGUGUGUGUGUUUAAUGAGGAGACCACAACUGACUCUAGAAAAAGGAGGCACAUUUGGUGAGUUGAAACGUGAAAUUGGAACAUAGUAAGUAUUAUCUCAAUUGUAUCACCUAUAUUGAAUAGCAUGGGGUGAUAAUAUAGUCAAACUUACGAUAUUCAGAGUUACAUUAGAAACACAUGUAAUACAAAUGAAUCAUGGAGUGAAGUAUUGAAGUAAUUUUAUCACAGUGAGCUGCUCCUUUUAAAAUUAGUUUCUUUAGAUUAAAAGGGUUAAAAUGCUUAAAAGUAAACACCAUGGGAGGCAAUAGAUUAUAAGUCUCUCUCCUUUCUCUUUCUCAUCCACCUCAGCCUUAUUUGUAAAGAAGAAUGUUAGUUUGGUUUAUUCAUUUAAAAAAUGUGUUUAUUCUGUUGUAAAACCAAGUACCAAUGUACUGGGUAUGUACAUACACACACACACACACACAAACAUAUUUUGCUCUUUUGAUAGUCACAAUAACUUUUUAUGGUGGAUAUUAUUAUCUCUAUUUUAGAUAUGCAAAAACAGUUCUGCUAGGUGAAGAAACUUGUUCAUAGCCAUAUGGUUAGAAUGUGUGGGUGAAAUCAAGGUGUAAAACCAGGUGUUUUGACUUCAAGGACUAUGGCUAUCCCCUCACAGCUUCCUCUCUACCUUCUACUGUGUGACUAUAAACCUGAGGCUUCAAACACAGAAAGGCAUCCAGGUAGAAAGAACAAGAGGAACAGAAGCAAUAUUAUGGUAUACACCAUAGACUGCCUAGUUGCUGUUAGCAGGAACUUUCCUUUUAACAUAAAUUUAAAACUAGGGUUGGGGAAUAUCCAGGUAGUUGUUAACUGGGUUCCUGUCUCAUUUGUCUAAAAGCUUGGUUCUGGAAUAUUCUUGACUUACUUUACUGGCCAUAUGGUUUCUCUGAGAAAGCAUAAAGAAAUAAAGGAACUCCUACACUGGACAUCAUUUUGAAUGAUAAAAGAAAAAUUGUUUUAGAAUGGAGAAGUAAUGUAAAAUUUUGGAAGAAAGUUACCCAAUUAUGUUAUUAUUAGAUAGAGUGGAGGAAGGAAAAACAGGAUGUAGUUAUAUAUGCUUUGGAAAAAAAUACUUUAAAAGAGAUAUGCUUCACAUAAAUUAAGACUCUAAAAUGGAAUACAGGAGGACUAUAAAAAUAAUUCAUACAAUACAGAAUAGUCUCAACAAGAAAGAGAAGAUGAAAACUCUAAAGAAUCCACUGGGUGCUAGGCUGCAUUUGGGGGAUUUUGGUGUUAGAAGAACCAGCAACACAGAAUGGGUGCUGUCUGUAUGUAUGUUGGGGGCGUCCCCAUAUACAACAUAGAAGAUUGACAUAAGCCUGUAAAAAUAAGGGACGCUAAAGCGCAGAAUGUGAAAAUGCAUCAAAGUGAUUUUUGUCAUUGCUAUUGUUUUGAUUUGAAAUUAUGUUUCAGGAGAAGAUGUGGCAGGAAGAUACAGAAUCAUCAAAUGGGAAAGUUGGUUCUAUAUGAAUAAAAGAAAGAUGCUGCUCCAUCCCUCUUACUUUCUCAUUCUCUCCAUUGAGAAUGGUUUCUAACAUGGAAAUGGCAGUACAAAUAAUAUAAAAAGGUUAUCACACUCAAA